AAGGAUAUGGUCAAAAGUACAUACCACAUACAUACUCACUCCUAUCAUUCAUUUCCUACUUCUUAGUUCUUAACUCACUCAUUCAUCUUUGAUUUGUGCUUCCUGUAAGUCUUUCUUUGGGAGAUCUCUCUCUCUACAGCUUCCUUUGUUUCUUUGUUUGUUUCCAAACAAUUAAUUCAAGUAAUUUUUCUCUCUAAAAUAUUAAUUAGUAAACACAUUUUACUCAUCAUAACUAACUUCCGUUGGUAGUUUUCAUGUUAUAUUUAUUACCUGUUAAAUCUUUCUCUAAAUCUCUCUCUUUUCUUUGCAGAUCUUAGUUUGUGUUUUUCUGACAAAGAUCUCACUUUGUUUGUUUGUUCAUUCUCACACUUUCAGGUAAAUCUCUUCUCUUCCUUCGUUAACAAAAGUUAAUCUUUUAAAUUAUCUAUUUGUCACACUAUAUUUAGAAUUUUAUGUAAAAAAAAAUCACUUUUUUCCCACUGGUUUUAUUUAAGGAGUGUUUGCCUGUUUGUUAAUUGGAUGCAUUUGUUUUUUAAAGCUUUUAAAAAAAUCGCUUUUGAUAAAAUAAUUUUAUAAAAAUACAAUUAAAAUGAUAAAAUUCAGUU
rnacentral:lncRNA from 1 species